CUUUUUCAUUGUUUCAUUAACUGCUACAAGGAGGUACAUGAAUAUAAUAUAAAGAAGUUGAAUUUCCAUUGAGGGAAAUCAUUGGACAAGGCCCAGCUGCAGGGUACGGAGGACCUACAAAAUCUGCCAGCCUCACAGCAGAGCCCACCAUGGGUACAGCAGCCCGCAGAAGGUGGAGGAAAACGAAUUAUUGGUU